AUAAUCGAGAGUGUGGUUGACAAGAAUAAUGGGAAGUCUUCUGCUGGAUUAAAUGACGGGAUUUGUACAUUCUGUGAGAUGGCUGUUGUUUGGAUGCAAAGCCAACUUAAACGAAACCAGACUGAAGAUAGCAUAAUUAAUUAUGUCAAUGAGUUGUGUGACCGAAUACCCAGUACUAUGGGAGAAUCUACAGUGGAUUGCCACAGUCUUUCCAACAUGCCUAAUAUCGCCUUUACUAUUGGCGGUAAAACUUUUGAGCUCACCCCAGAACAGCUUUUUUAAAUAUGGUUGAUAUUAC